CGGCGUGCUUAACACAUGCAAGUCGAACGAGAAAGCUCCUUCGGGAGUGAGUACAGUGGCGAACGGGUGCGUAACACGUUGGUGACCUGCCUUGAGGAGGGGGACAACCGUGGGAAACCACGGCUAAUACCCCGGAUGUCUAAACUGUUAGAGGGUUUAGACUAAAACUUCGGUGCCUCAAGAGGGGCCUGCGGGCUAUCAGCUUGUUGGUGGGGUAAUGGCCUACCAAGGCUAAGACGGCUAGGGGGCGUGAGAGCGCGACCCCCCACAAUGGAACUGAGACACGGUCCAUACUCCUACGGGAGGCAGCAGUGAGGAAUAUUGCGCAAUGGGGGAAACCCUGACGCAGCAACGCCGCGUGAACGAUGAAGGCCUUCGGGUCGUAAAGUUCUUUUCUAAGGGAAGAUAGUGACGGUACCUUAGGAAUAAGUCCCGGCUAACUACGUGCCAGCAGCCGCGGUAAAACGUAGGGGGCGAGCGUUAUCCGGAUUUAUUGGGCGUAAAGCGCACGUAGGUGGCGCUGUAAGUUAGACGUGAAAGCUCUCGGCUCAACUGAGAGAGGUCGUUUAAAACUGCAGUGCUUGAGGUUAGAAGAGGAGAGCAGAAUUCCCGGUGUAGUGGUGGAAUGCGUAGAUAUCGGGAGGAAUACCAGUGGCGAAGGCGGCUCUCUAGUCUACACCUGACACUGAGGUGCGAAAGCGUGGGUAGCGAACGGGAUUAGAUACCCCGGUAGUCCACGCUGUAAACGAUGGAUACUAGGUGUGGGGGGUCAUUUAACCCCUCUGUGCCCGAAGCAAACGCGUUAAGUAUCCCGCCUGGGGACUACGGCCGCAAGGUUAAAACUCACAGGAAUUGACGGGGGCCCGCACAAUCAGCGGAGCGUGUGGUUUAAUUCGAUGAUACGCGUAGAACCUUACCUGGGCUGUACUACGUGGUAGUAGUGAACGUAAAUCGGAUCGACCCUUCGGGGAGCCUCGAUAGGUGCUGCAUGUCUGUCGUCAGCUCGUGUCGUGUAGAUGUUGGGUUAAGUCCCGCUACGAGCGCAUCCCUCGUCGCUAGUUACAAGUGUCUAGCGAGACUGCCGGUAUCAAACCGGAGUAAGGUGGGGAUGACGUCUAGUCUAGCAUGGUCUUUAUGUCCAGGGCUACACACACGCUACAAUGGUCGGUACAAUAGGUUGC
rnacentral:rRNA from 1 species